ACCUAGGGCUUGAUCCAAAGCCCCUUGAAAUCAGUGGGAUUCUUUCCACUGGCUUCAAUGGGCUUAAGAUCAGGCCCCUAGU
rnacentral:pre_miRNA from 1 species